GACGAACGCUGGCGGCGUGCUUAACACAUGCAAGUCGAACGGAAAGGCCUGCUUUCCCUUGUGGAUUGCGGGUGCUCGAGUGGCGAACGGGUGAGUAACACGUGAGUGAUCUGCCCCCAACUUGGGUAUAAGCCUGGGAAACUGGGUCUAAUUCCCGAUAGGACUGCAGGGUGGUGCCUGUGGUGGAAAACGAUUUUCUAGUGGUUGGGGAUGAGCUCGCGGCCUAUCAGCUUGUUGGUGGGGUAAUGGCCUACCAAGGCGGCGACGGGUAGCCGGCCUGAGAGGGUGGACGGCCACAGUGAGACUGGGAUACGGCCCAGACGCCUACGGGAAGCAGCAGUGGGGAAUAUUGCACAAUGGGCGGAAGCCUGAUGCAGCGACGCCGCGUGGGGGAUGACGGCCUUCGGGUUGUAAACUCCUUUCGACCGCGAGGAAGCCACCUGGUUGGAAGGGUGGUGACGGUAGUGGUAGAAGAAGCACCGGCUAACUACGUG
rnacentral:rRNA from 1 species